UAUUUGAAAAAUAGGGUCGGUUCGGCCGGAUUUCACACGGGUGUUGCAUGGCUGUCGUCAGCUCGUGUCGUGAGAUGUUGGGUUAAGUCCCGCAACGAGCGUAACCCUCAUCCUUAGUUGCAUCAGGUAAUGCUGAGCACUUUAAGGAAACUGCUAGUGAUAAACUGGAGGAAGGUGGGAUGAUGUCAAGUCAUCAUGGCCCUUAUGGAGUGGGCUACACACGUGCUACAAUGGUGGCUACAAUGGGCUGCAAAGUCGCGAGGCCAAGCUAAUCCCUUAAAAGCCAUCUCAGUUCGGAUUGUACUCUGCAACUCGAGUGCAUGAAGUUGGAAUCGCUAGUAAUCGUGGAUCAGCAUGCCACGGUGAAUACGUUCUCGGGUCUUGUACACACUGCCCGUCACGCCAUGGGAAUUGGUUUCACUCGAAGCUAAUGACCUAACCGCAAGGAGGGAGUUAUUUAAAGUGGGAUCAGUGACUGGGGUGAAGUCGUAACAAGGUAGGCGUAGUGCU
rnacentral:rRNA from 1 species